rnacentral:miRNA from 1 species
AACGUAGAGCUCAUGAUCACA